rnacentral:rRNA from 1 species
CUACGGGGCGCACCAGUCGAGAAUCUUCCGCAAUGGACGAAAGUCUGACGGAGCGACGCCGCGUGCGGGAUGAAGGCCUUCGGGUUGUAAACCGCUGUCAGUGGGGAGGAAAUGCAUCAGGGUUCUCCCUGGUGUUUGACCGAUCCGCAGAGGAAGCGCAGGCUAAGUUCGUGCCAGCAGCCGCGGUAACACGAACUGCGCGAACGUUAUUCGGAAUCACUGGGCUUAAAGAGUUCGUAGGCGGCCUUUCAAGUCGGGUGUGAAAUCCCUCGGCUCAACCGAGGGAUUGCGCCUGAUACUGUUGGGCUUGAGGGGGAUAGGGGUGAGCGGAACUGAUGGUGGAGCGGUGAAAUGCGUUGAUAUCAUCAGGAACACCGGUGGCGAAGGCGGCUCACUGGAUCUCUUCUGACGCUGAGGAACGAAAGCUAGGGGAGCGAACGGGAUUAGAUACCCUGGUAGUC